GUACCUAAAGUACAAAUAUUUUUUUAUUGCUUGUUUAUAAAUAUGAUUUAAAAGGAUUAUAAUCUCCAGAUAUUUAAAUUGAGCAAAAAUAUCUAUCACACAUGCAAACUUUUGCGGUACGUAUGGCUUUAUUUGAAAAUUAAUCUAUAGUUAUAACAGUUCAUUGCACUGCAAAAGAACAAGAACAAUAAACAAACAAGAAAAUUUUUGCUCUUUCCAAAAAGGAUUUUACAAAGUAGUUGCAAAAUUUUAAACCACAAAAUCAGUCAUACACAAACAUAUUUUUAUAUUUCGCCGAAGUUUUAUUAAUUUUACUCACUUGGAAUAAACCGGUUAAUAGAAUAGAAAUAUACGUCCAGUGUAGUGUAUUAAUUUUUUGUCAAGAAAUAUGAUUCCUUUUGAUAGUUCUAUUAAAUUAUCAGCAAACUAAGAUGUCUAUGAGAAAUUUACCCUCCGAAGUCCAAUUCAAAAUAAACUCUUUUAUUCGUAAUUCAUAUCCCCACCCAAGUUGAUAUUCUUCUUUCUGAUGGAAGAGGGAAGAAAGCGUUCCUUUUUUUUCACUUCAGUUCUAUCAUUUUAUUUUAUUUUUCGGUUUUCGCUGUCGGUGCAUUUAUUGUUGCCAUCCAAACGAUUUUUUGGUAGUGCAAAAUAAACAACUGAAAUCCACAAAGAGAAGAAAAUAACAAAGAAAAAAAAAUUAGCAGUUCCAACAUGUGUCCAUAGAAUGGAAUCUUCUUUCUUUCUCCAUGUCUUCGUCGGUGGCCUGGAGGCUUAGAAGAGGGGGGAAAAAUGGCUAAAUCAAAAGAAAAAGUGAAGAAAUGGGAAUAAAAAAGUCGGUACCUUCAGUGGUAUGGUGUUGCCCACCCUGAAGAUUCGCGCAAUCUGUCAAUCUAACCUUCUAAACACGUCAAAUGCUGACCUACACUCUGAUCAGACGCGUUUUGUUUUCUUCAAGUACGAGGUUCGGCUGGCGAUGACAGCAGUGGACUCCAGAUUUCCGCUGUUGAACGUGUAGAUGAAAAUAAGCGAACUCAUGAAUGAGUUUGGGACAGAAAUAGGCAUGAAAGGGGUUACUGUAUUUGUAAAUUUCUUUUUCUUUCCUCGUUCGUGAAAAUGUCGUCUGCUUGAAGACGCAUUCAUCUUCUGGAAUGUUUUAUGAUUGUAUGAGAUCGUAAGAAUUUCGUUAUUCUCAGUUCA